AAAUUGAAGAGUUUGAUCAUGGCUCAGAUUGAACGCUGGCGGCAGGCCUAACACAUGCAAGUCGAGCGGUAGCACAGAGAGCUUGCUCUCGGGUGACGAGCGGCGGACGGGUGAGUAAUGUCUGGGAAACUGCCUGAUGGAGGGGGAUAACUACUGGAAACGGUAGCUAAUACCGCAUAACGUCGCAAGACCAAAGUGGGGGACCUUCGGGCCUCAUGCCAUCAGAUGUGCCCAGAUGGGAUUAGCUAGUAGGUGGGGUAACGGCUCACCUAGGCGACGAUCCCUAGCUGGUCUGAGAGGAUGACCAGCCACACUGGAACUGAGACACGGUCCAGACUCCUACGGGAGGCAGCAGUGGGGAAUAUUGCACAAUGGGCGCAAGCCUGAUGCAGCCAUGCCGCGUGUGUGAAGAAGGCCUUCGGGUUGUAAAGCACUUUCAGCGGGGAGGAAGGCGUUAAGGUUAAUAACCUUGGCGAUUGACGUUACCCGCAGAAGAAGCACCGGCUAACUCCGUGCCAGCAGCCGCGGUAAUACGGAGGGUGCAAGCGUUAAUCGGAAUUACUGGGCGUAAAGCGCACGCAGGCGGUCUGUCAAGUCGGAUGUGAAAUCCCCGGGCUCAACCUGGGAACUGCAUUCGAAACUGGCAGGCUAGAGUCUUGUAGAGGGGGGUAGAAUUCCAGGUGUAGCGGUGAAAUGCGUAGAGAUCUGGAGGAAUACCGGUGGCGAAGGCGGCCCCCUGGACAAAGACUGACGCUCAGGUGCGAAAGCGUGGGGAGCAAACAGGAUUAGAUACCACGGUAGUCCACGCCGUAAACGAUGUCGAUUUGGAGGUUGUGCCCUUGAGGCGUGGCUUCCGGAGCUAACGCGUUAAAUCGACCGCACGGGAGUACGGCCGCAAGGUUAAAACUCAAAUGAAUUGACGGGGCCCGCACAAGCGGUGGAGCAUGUGGUUUAAUUCGAUGCAACGCGAAGAACCUUACAGGUCUUGACAUCCACAGAACUUUCCAGAGAUGGAUUGGUGCCUUCGGGAACUGUGAGACAGGUGCUGCAUGGCUGUCGUCAGCUCGUGUUGUGAAAUGUUGGGUUAAGUCCCGCAACGAGCGCAACCCUUAUCCUUUGUUGCCAGCGGUUCGGCCGGGAACUCAAAGGAGACUGCCAGUGAUAAACUGGAGGAAGGUGGGGAUGACGUCAAGUCAUCAUGGCCCUUACGACCAGGGCUACACACGUGCUACAAUGGCAUAUACAAAGAGAAGCGACCUCGCGAGAGCAAGCGGACCUCAUAAAGUAUGUCGUAGUCCGGAUUGGAGUCUGCAACUCGACUCCAUGAAGUCGGAAUCGCUAGUAAUCGUAGAUCAGAAUGCUACGGUGAAUACGUUCCCGGGCCUUGUACACACCGCCCGUCACACCAUGGGAGUGGGUUGCAAAAGAAGUAGGUAGCUUAACCUUCGGGAGGGCGCUUACCACUUUGUGAUUCAUGACUGGGGUGAAGUCGUAACAAGGUAACCGUAGGGGAACCUGCGGUUGGAUCACCUCCUUACCUUAAAGAA
rnacentral:rRNA from 1 species